rnacentral:lncRNA from 1 species
UUGUUCUUUGUUCUUUAUUCUUUGUUCUUUAAUCUCACGGCUAACCCGGGGGUUUCGCCACAUUAACUUGCUUCACAUUAAGUCCAUCAUCGCGGGCCCUCAGCUUCCUCCCGCUAAGACCGUCCUCGGGUUUACUCUAACCCGUGAUGCUAAAACUCCGGAGCGCAUCGCCCGAGGGGGAGCGACCGCCCUCGAGCACGGAACUCAUAGCAAGUAUGAUCGAAUCCUUAACUCUAAGGAUUAUAAGUUCAAUCAUGUCAUUACACUAACUCUAGUGUUCUUUUCAUCACUUUAUGUUGCUACUCUAGCAAUCAUG